UAUUAUUAUUAUUAUUAUUAUUGGGGUAAGGAUCACACCAGAAUAUAGAAUACUUCAUCUAUAUUAACUACAUGCCAAGUUUCACAGCUUUAAUGUCAUAGAAUUACAUUAAUGCGUGAAAGCAUUAAAAUAUGCAUUUUUGCCGAAAAUUUCUUCCAGUAAUGAGCAUCACGAAAAACCACAAGAACCAAAUUUGUACAUUACAUUAAGCAACAAUAUUAGCAAAUAAGUUAUAAAAGGAAAUGAAAAAUACUAAAAUCAAUUUUAUGGUAAUCCUGAUGUAGAAAAAGGGAAAGAACCAAGAAGAACAAGAAGUCAAGGACCAAUCCUUAAAGAGAGAACUAAUUCUCAAGAUAUUA
rnacentral:misc_RNA from 1 species